rnacentral:ncRNA from 1 species
GUCAUCAUCUCGCGUUGACUACGUCUCUGCCCUUUGUACAUACCGCCCGUCGCUCCUACCGAUUGAAUGGUCUGGUAAAGUGUUCGGAUCGUGGCAACGUGAGCGGUUCGCCGCUCGCGACAUCGCGACAAGUCCAUUGAACCUUAUCAUUUAGAGGAAGGAGAAKUCGUAACAAGGUUUCCGUAGGUGAACCAGCGGAAGGAUCAUUG